rnacentral:rRNA from 1 species
UACGGAGGGUGCAAGCGUUAUCCGGAUUUACUGGGUUUAAAGGGUGCGUAGGUGGGUUGGGUAGUCAGUGGUGAAAUACUAUAGCUUAACUAUGGAACUGCCAUUGAUACUCUCAAUCUUGAAUACAGUGGAGGUGGGCGGAAUGCGUCAUGUAGUGGUGAAAUACUUAGAUAUGACGCAGAACACCUAUUGCGAAGGCAGCUCGCUACACUGUCAUUGACACUGAGGCACGAAAGCCAGGGGAGCAAACGGG